rnacentral:lncRNA from 1 species
AGCCUAGGGAAGAGUAAGGUGUCCGGCCGGGCUGUAUCUCGUGGGUGGCGAGGGAACAUUGCCUGUCUCGGAAACAGUUCCCAAGACAACGCGCAUCCCAGACGCCCGGCGAGGCUGCCUUCCUACAGGAGCGGUCCUAAUCUGCAUAUCCAAGAGCAAUGUAUGUGAACCUACGUUUCCACAGCCUCACCCACAGAAUGUGUGCUCAAACAUUUGGAUUUUUGCCCAUCUACUAGGUCAGCAUUUUACCUAUGGAUGGCAUUUUCUAUUUUCGGUGACGGACUAUGAGCCAGGAUAAACACAUUACUCUCUUCUUUAACAAAAAGAGCAUGGUUAACUCCAAAGACUUCUCUAGACCAGCCUGGAUGGUACCUAAACUUUAAUCAACCAAUGCUCAAGUAAAAGAGCAGUAUCCAGCCCCAGCACACCUAACUGUUUUGCAUAACAUAGAUCUCACCCCACAGGCCUUGGAAACCUGAGGCAGUAUUCUUCUGGGAUGUUUCCAACUAGGCUUCCCAUGAGGAUGUUAGAGCCAGCCUGGCUGGUGAAUUUUACUUCUCUCACCUCUCAGAGGUAAGAGGUCUGAGAGGCUCAGGCCCUUCCAGCUUUUGAGGAUUCCAGCAUAGUAGAAACAUAAAAAGGUCCAAAGGGAAUUACAAAAAUAAUCUAUUUUCAGUUCUUAUACUUAACAAGUCAAUUCUUAUUAAAAAAAUAAAUCAAUCAAACUUUUGUUUGAUAUAAUUAUAGAUUCCAAGGAAGUUGUAAAGAUAGUACAGGAGGUCCCUGUGCAUCUUUCACCCAGUUUCCUCCAGUUUUAUGCCACUAGAGUACAAUAUCCAAACCAGGACAUUGACAUUGGAGCCAUAUGCAUGUAUAUUUCCAUGUCAUUUUAUCUCAUGUGUAUGCUCAUGUACCCAUCACUUCAAUCAGGUUAGAGACUAGACCAUCCCUCAUGCUGCCCUCUGAACUACCAACCCUAACCCGUGGAGGUCAUUAAUCUGUUCUUUAUCACUACAAUUUGGUCAUUUUGAGAAUGAAUAAAAUCACACAGUAAUGCAAGCCUUUUGAGACUAGCAUUUUUUCACUCAGCAUAACAUACUUAAGAUCCAUCAAUAAUUCUUCCAUUUUAUUGCCGAGCGGUAUUCUACAGUAUAGAUAUACUAAAGUUUAACUCUUCAUCUAAGGUAGGACAUUUUGGUUGUUUCCAGUUUUGGCUAUUACAAAUAAAGCUUCUAUGAGUAUUCACCUACA